rnacentral:rRNA from 1 species
GCCGCGAAUUCGCCCUUAGGGUUUGAUUAUGGCUCAGAUUGAACGCUGGCGGCAGGCCUAACACAUGCAAGUCGAGCGGUAGCACAGGAGAGCUUGCUCUCUGGGUGACGAGCGGCGGACGGGUGAGUAAUGUCUGGGAAACUGCCCGAUGGAGGGGGAUAACCACUGGAAACGGUGGCUAAUACCGCAUAACGUCUACGGACCAAAGAGGGGGACCUUCGGACCUCUUGCCAUCGGAUGUGCCCAGAUGGGAUUAGCUAGUAGGUGGGGUAACGGCUCACCUAGGCGACGAUCCCUAGCUGGUCUGAGAGGAUGACCAGCCACACUGGAACUGAGACACGGUCCAGACUCCUACGGGAGGCAGCAGUGGGGAAUAUUGCACAAUGGGCGCAAGCCUGAUGCAGCCAUGCCGCGUGUGUGAAGAAGGCCUUCGGGUUGUAAAGCACUUUCAGCGAGGAGGAAGGCCAAUAACUUAAUACGUUGUUGGAUUGACGUUACUCGCAGAAGAAGCACCGGCUAACUCCGUGCCAGCAGCCGCGGUAAUACGGAGGGUGCAAGCGUUAAUCGGAAUUACUGGGCGUAAAGCGCACGCAGGCGGUUUGUUAAGUCAGAUGUGAAAUCCCCGCGCUUAACGUGGGAACUGCAUUUGAAACCGGCAAGCUAGAGUCUCGUAGAGGGGGGUAGAAUUCCAGGUGUAGCGGUGAGAUG